rnacentral:rRNA from 1 species
AGACCCGAAACCCGGUGAUCUAGCCAUGGGCAGGUUGAAGGUUGGGUAACACUAACUGGAGGACCGAACCGACUAAUGUUGAAAAAUUAGCGGAUGACCUGUGGCUGGGGGUGAAAGGCCAAUCAAACCGGGAGAUAGCUGGUUCUCCCCGAAAGCUAUUUAGGUAGCGCCUCGUGAAUUCAUCUCCGGGGGUAGAGCACUGUUUCGGCUAGGGGGCCAUCCCGGCUUACCAACCCGAUGCAAACUGCGAAUACCGGAGAAUGUUAUCACGGGAGACACACGGCGGGUGCUAACGUCCGUCGUGAAGAGGGAAACAACCCAGACCGCCAGCUAAGGUCCCAAAGUCAUGGUUAAGUGGGAAACGAUGUGGGAAGGCCCAGACAGCCAGGAUGUUGGCUUAGAAGCAGCCAUCAUUUAAAGAAAGCGUAAUAGCUCACUGGUCGAGUCGGCCUGCGCGGAAGAUGUAACGGGGCUAAACCAUGCACCGAAGCUGCGGCAGCGACACUCAGGUGUUGUUGGGUAGGGGAGCGUUCUGUAAGCCUGUGAAGGUGGCCUGUGAGGGUUGCUGGAGGUAUCAGAAGUGCGAAUGCUGACAUAAGUAACGAUAAAGCGGGUGAAAAGCCCGCUCGCCGGAAGACCAAGGGUUCCUGUCCAACGUUAAUCGGGGCAGGGUGAGUCGACCCCUAAGGCGAGGCCGAAAGGCGUAGUCGAUGGGAAACGGGUUAAUAUUCCCGUACUUGGUGUUACUGCGAAGGGGGGACGGAGAAGGCUAUGUUGGCCGGGCGACGGUUGUCCCGGUUUAAGCGUGUAGGUGUGUGUUCCAGGUAAAUCCGGUUCACUUUAACACUGAGGCGUGACGACGAGGCACUACGGUGCUGAAGCAACAAAUGCCCUGCUUCCAGGAAAAGCCUCUAAGCAUCAGGUAACAUCAAAUCGUACCCCAAACCGACACAGGUGGUCAGGUAGAGAAUACCAAGGCGCUUGAGAGAACUCGGGUGAAGGAACUAGGCAAAAUGGUGCCGUAACUUCGGGAGAAGGCAC